UACGGAGGGGGCGAGCGUUAUUCGGAAUUAUUGGGCGUAAAGGGCGCGUAGGCGGCUGAACAAGUCAAAGGUGAAAUCCCUCGGCUCAACUGAGGAACUGCCUUUGAAACUGUUCGGCUUGAGGCCGGGAGGGGGUAGCGGAAUUCCCAGUGUAGCGGUGAAAUGCGUAGAUAUCGAGAGGAACACCAGUGGCGAAGGCGAGUCCCUGGACAACACCUGACACUGAGGCACGAAAGCCGGGGGAGCAAACAGG
rnacentral:rRNA from 1 species